rnacentral:rRNA from 1 species
CGAAAGCCUGACGGAGCAAUACCGCGUGAGGGAGGAAGGCUCUUGGGUUGUAAACCUCUUUUCUCAAGGAAGAACACAAUGACGGUACUUGAGGAAUAAGCAUCGGCUAACUCCGUGCCAGCAGCCGCGGUAAUACGGAGGAUGCAAGCGUUAUCCGGAAUGAUUGGGCGUAAAGCGUCCGCAGGUGGUUUUGUAAGUCUGCUGUUAAAGCGUGAGGCUCAACCUCAUAUGGGCGGUGGAAACUACAAGACUAGAGUACGUUCGGGGCAGAGGGAAUUCCUGGUGUAGCGGUGAAAUGCGUAGAUAUCAGGAAGAACACCGGUGGCGAAAGCGCUCUGCUAGGCCGUAACUGACACUGAGGGACGAAAGCUAGGGGAGCG